rnacentral:rRNA from 1 species
CCCUGCCAUUUGUACACACCGCCCGUCGCUCCUACCGAUUGGGUGAUCCGGUGAACUGUUCGGAGCGCACCCUCUCUGGGUUUCCAGUUGGGUGUGUGAAGUUCUGUAAACCUUAUCACCUAGAGGAAGGAGAAGUCGUAACAAGGUUUC